rnacentral:rRNA from 1 species
GACCUCGGAUCAGGUAGGACUA